GAUGAAGAACGCAGCGAAAUGCGAUAAGUAGUGUGAAUUGCAGAAUUCAGUGAAUCAUCGAAUCUUUGAACGCACAUUGCGCCCCUUGGUAUUCCAUGGGGCAUGCCUGUUCGAGCGACAUUUGUACCUUCAAGCUCUGCUUGGUGUUGGGUGUUUGUCUCGCCUCUGCGUGUAGACUCGCCUCAAAACAAUUGGCAGCCGGCGUAUUGAUUUCGGAGCGCAGUACAUCUCGCGCUUUGCACUCAUAACGACGACGUCCAAAAGUACAUUUUUACACUCUUGACCUCGGAUCAGGUAGGGAUACCCGCUGAACUUAAGCAUAUCAUAAGCGGAGGA
rnacentral:misc_RNA from 1 species